rnacentral:rRNA from 1 species
UACGUAGGGUGCGAGCGUUUGUCCGGAAUUAUUGGGCGUAAAGAGCCUGUAGGCGGUCUGUCGCGUCUGCUGUGAAAAUCCGGGGCUCAACCCCGGACCUGCAGUGGGUACGGGCAGACUAGAGUGUGGUAGGGGAGACUGGGAUUCCUGGUGUAGCGGUGAAAUGCGCAGAUAUCAGGAGGAACACCGAUGGCGAAGGCAGGUCUCUGGGC